UACGGGGGGGCAAGCGUUGUUCGGAAUUACUGGGCGUAAAGGGUUCGUAGGUGGCCAACUCAGUCAGACGUGAAAUCCCUCAGCUCAACUGGGGAACUGCGUCUGAUACUAGAUGGCUCGAGUGCAGGAGAGGAACGCGGAAUUCCAGGUGUAGCGGUGAAAUGCGUAGAUAUCUGGAGGAACACCGGUGGCGAAGGCGGCGUUCUGGACUGCAAC
rnacentral:rRNA from 1 species